rnacentral:rRNA from 1 species
ACUCCUACGGGAGGCAGCAGUGGGGAAUAUUGCACAAUGGGCGCAAGCCUGAUGCAGCCAUGCCGCGUGUGUAGAAGGCAUGGGCUUCGGUUGAUGAAGCACUUUUCAGUUGUGAGGAAGGUGGUGUCGUUAAUAGCGGCAUCAUUUGACGUUAGCAACAGAAGAAGCACCGGCUAACUCCGUGCCAGCAGCCGCGGUAAUACGGAGGGUGCGAGCGUUAAUCGGAAUUACUGGGCGUAAAGCGCAUGCAGGUGGUUUGUUAAGUCAGAUGUGAAAGCCCGGGGCUCAACCUCGGAACUGCAUUUGAAACUGGCAGACUAGAGUACUGUAGAGGGGGUAGAAUUUCAGGUGUAGCGGUGAAAUGCGUAGAGAUCUGAAGGAAUACCGGUGGCGAAGGCGGCCCCCUGGACAGAUACUGACACUCAGAUGCGAAAGCGUGGGGAGCAAACAGGAUUAGAUACCCUGGUAGGAUAG